rnacentral:rRNA from 1 species
UACGAAGGGGGCUAGCGUUGUUCGGAAUUACUGGGCGUAAAGCGCACGUAGGCGGACAUUUUAAGUCAGGGGUGAAAUCCCGGGGCUCAACCCCGGAACGGCCUUUGAUACUGGGUGUCUUGAGUUCGGAAGAGGUGAGUGGAAUUCCGGGUGUAGCGGUGGAAUGCGUAGAGAUGCGGAGGAACACCGAUGGCGAAGGCAGCCCCCUGGGCUAGCACUGACGCUCAGGCACGAA